CCCCCCCCCCCCCCCCCCCCCCCCCCCCCCCCCCCCCCCCCCCCCCCCCCCCCCCCCUUUCCCAGGCAUUUGAAAUCCCCAAUUCUCCUUUACUCCUCCACAAACCUUUUGAACCCCCCUAAAAAUGCUCCAGCUCUGCCUCAGGACUCAAAACUCCCAAAUUCUGUGGGAGCCAAAGGAUUUUCUCCUUUUCCAAAGGGGCCACUUUGCUGCUUUGGAGAGGCUGAAAUGGGGAGGGGGGAAAAAAAAAAGCAAAUUUCAAAAGGAUUCUGCUGCAAAAUUCCACCCUCAGCAGCGAAACGCUUCUUAAAGAGAAAGGAAAAUAUUGUGCUGAGCAGAGGGGGAGGAAAAAAUAAAUAAAAAAAAAUAGAACUGGAGUGUUUAUCCUGGAGCUGUGAGCGCCGAAUUCCUGACAGAGCCCAGCUGUUCCCAAAUCCCAAAAAAGGGCUGCGCUUCCCUUGACGUCAGCAGGAGGAUCCCAAACGAGUGACGUGGAGCCGAAACCUCCCAGCCAGAGCUCGGAGCGGAGACGCGAGCCAAAGAUGGAAAUGCUGCGGGAGCGGCGGGGGGCGAUGGAGAUCUGGGGGGAGGAAUCCCGGCUGGAAGUGGGGGAGGAGUGGGAGAGAUGCAGAGACUCAGUUCAGGGAAUCUGGCAAAAAAUGGGAAUUGUCAGCAGGAAAAGAGCUCCUGAUCCAUGUCCCAGUUGUGGAUGGGACCGGGGGUGAAAUAAAGGAUUGGGAAAUAGAAGAGGAGAGAUGAACAUCAGGAAUGUCUGGAAGAGGGGCAGGAAUCCAGACUGGAAAUGGAGAGAUCCAUCCAGGGAAUGUGGGAGUUUCCUGGCUGAAAAAUGGGAAUUGUCAGCGGGAAAACAGCUCCUGAUCCAUGUCCCAGUUAGGGACGGGAACAGGGAUUGGGAAAUAGGAGAGAGGAACAUCAGGGAUGUCUGGAAAAGAAGGGAAAUUAAUCCAGGCUGGAAGGGGGGAAGGAGUGGGAGAGAUCCAGAGAUUCAGUUCAGGGAAUAUGGCAAAAAAUGGGAAUUGUCAGCGGGAAAACAGGUCCUGAUCCAUGUCCCAGUUAGGGAUGGGACCAGGGGGUGAAAUAAAGGAUUGGAAAUAGAAGAGGAGAGAACAUCAGGAAUGUCAGGAAGAGGGGGAGGAAUCCAGGCUGGAAGUGGGGAAGGAGUGGGGAGAUCCAGAGAUUCAGUUCAGGGAAUCUGGCAAAAAAUGGGAAUUGUCAGCGGGAAAACAGGUCCUGAUCCAUGUCCCAGUUAGGGAUGGGACCAGGGGGUGUUCUCUUUCCUGUGGGUGAAAUAAAGAAUUGGGAAAUAGGAGAGAGGAACAUCAGGGAUGCCUAGAAAAGGGAAAUUAAUCCAGUGUGGAAAUGGGGAAGGAGUGGGAGAGAUGCAAAGAUCAAAUCCAGGGAAUCUGGCAAAAAAUGGGAAUUGUCAUUGGGAAAACAGGUCCUGAUCCAUGUCCCAGUUAGGGAUGGGACCAGGGGGUGAAAUAAAGGAUUGGGAAAUAGAAGGGAAGCCCUUCCUUGGGUUUGCUCCAUGAGGGAAAACUCUGGGUGUUCCCAGAAAUUAUUCUACAAGAAUUCCCAUUUCCAGGUCCUCCCCAACCCCGAGAGCCUCCCUGGCUGCUCCCAGAGCAGCCCCAGGAGAAAAGCAGGAAUUGCAGAGGAGCCCCAGGGCCAUUCCCUGUGUCCCCCAGAGUCUGAUCCCAACAGGAUCCUGAUCCCAGAGUGCUGCUGGGAAUUCCUCUUUUAUUUCACUUUUAUUCCCUUGAACUCCUCGGCCUCCUGGGGUUUUCUCUCCUGGCUCCAAUAUUCCAGGGUUGUUUUG
rnacentral:lncRNA from 12 species